CCCUAUAGCUCAAAUGGUAAAGAAUCUGCCUGCAAUGCAGAAGACCAGGGUUCGAUCCCUGGGUUGGGA
rnacentral:tRNA from 1 species